UUUGUCGGAGGGGCCUGCGGCUGCGCGUCACGUCAUCCUUUUGCAUCUCUCCCUCUCCCCGUUACCAGCUGGCACAUUGCACAUGGUCCGGCUUUUGUGUUAGGCGAGAGACGCAACUGAAAAAGUCGCUUUCUCGGGCUAGUUUUGGCUUUUCUUUUGUAGAAAUCUCUCCAAAGAGAUGCAUAAUUCACGCGUUCUGGACAGUUGGCACAAUUCAACGGUUGAGCAUGUUGCAGCAGGAGCUCUGCUCAGAACAUUGAUCUCUACCGAUGAGGAGAGUUACCUACCGAUGGGCUGUGGGACUUCUAUUACAUACAUAUAUAAUCGUUAACUUAACAGUCACCGACAAACAUUUCAAGAACUUUUGAUUGGCAUAUAGGUGGCAGAAUGGAUAGAGCACCAGGCUUGAAGUCAGGAAGACUUAUUUUCCUGAAUUCAAAUCUAGCCUCAGACAGUGACUAGCUGUGUGACCCUGG